rnacentral:rRNA from 1 species
GUCUAUUAUGAAUUUAUUUAUAGUCUAGCCUGCUCACUGAUAAAAUUAUUAAAUAGCCGCGGUAUCUUGACCGUGCAAAGGUAGCAUAAUCAUUAGUUUUUUAAUUGAAAACUUGUAUGAAUGGUUGGACAAAGAAAAAGCUGUCUCUUUCAUUAAAAUUGAAUUUAACUUCUAAGUGAAAAGGCUUAGAUAUUUUAGAGGGACGAUAAGACCCUAUAAAGCUUUAUAAAUUUAAAGAUUUUAUAUAUUUUUUUUAUAAUGGUGAUCUCUCGAAAAUUUAUUGGGUUGGGGCAACAAAAGUAUAAUUAUCAAUAACUGCUAUAAAUUACUACAAUUAUUUUUGUUAUUAAAGAGUUGUUGAUCCUCGAAAGGGAUUAAAAGAUCAAGUUACUUUAGGGAUAACAGCGUAAUUUAUCUUGAGAGUUCUUAUCAAAGGAUAAGUUUGCGACCUCGAUGUUGAAUUAAAAUGUCUUUAUAGUGCAGCAGCUAUACAAGAAGGUCUGUUCGACCUUUAAUUUUUUACAUGAUUUGAGUUCAGACCGGCGUGAGCCAGGUCGGUUUCUAUCUUCUAAGAAUAAAAGGCCACUUUAGUACGAAAGGAUUAAGUAGUCAAAAGUAUUUUAAAAUUUUGAAAUA